GGGCGGUUAGCUCAGGUGGUUAGAGUGCAUGGUUGACAUCCAUGAGGUCACUGGUUCGAGUCCAGUACCGCCCACCA
rnacentral:tRNA from 1 species